GUCAGGCGGACCAAUCGGCGCCCGCGCCUGGCGGAAGAGGCGGAGCGAGAAGCUCCUGCGACGACCACCAGGGCGCCUGCGCACAAAGCGUGACUGGCUUGUUAGCGAGUUCAAAAAGUUGGUGGGUCCGCGCUUGUAGUGGCGUCUUCUUUUGGUUCAGCUGAAGCGCAGGGCUCAUGAACAGUAAAAAUAUUUUUAGGAAAAAGUUAUCUAGGUAAAUGGACGUCACUCCCACGUACUGUAUCCCAUGUAACAGUAUUUAGGCAUUUAAUGACGUCGGCAGCCUCCCCCAGCUGGCUGUGACCACUUGGAGCGCAGGAGCUAAAUUUCAGCCCGGAGGACUCGCUUGCUUAGCGCAGCGUCUCGGAUAAAAUAAGUGAUUUAAGAGGAAGAGAGAAGCUUGUUAGGAGAGCAGUAGCAUAUGAGCGCCUAUGUCCCAGGGAUUGAGCCACACUCUACAAGGAUUCAUUUAAUCCCGACACAGCCUAAGAGUAUAAUGCCCUCAAGGCCCACCCAUUUGUCUCAGAUGGCAAGAUGUUAUACUUUUUUACAGAUAUCUUUGGAACCUUCGGGGGAAUCUCUGAUCUGCACCAGCGUCUGAUGUAUCUGAGGUCUGCGGUAUUCAACAAAGCUGCAGUUCUACAGGGACUCUGAAGACUGCUGGCUCUGCUUGGAGAAAUUACCAACACAAAUGAAAAUGUCCUCUCGUUACUGAAACCGAUAAAGAUUUUGACUUUGGCCUCAAGAGAACAAGCUGCUUUUUGCAAAUGACAGCCCUCCCCUCCGCGCAGGCAGGGAUUGCUGUACCCAGAGCGCGGGCUCCGUGCUGCCCGGAGGCGCGCGCGGGACGCCGGGCUCGAUCUGGCGGGCUGGCGAGGGCGGCAGGCCGCAGGGACGGGCUACGGGAAGCGGGACUCCACGGCUCAAGCGCGGCGCUCCGAGAAGCUGGUCGACGCCGCCGCGAGCCCAGGCGACCGCGGGAGUGAGGCGCGAGUUGUCUGCGUCUCUGGGUUGCGCUCAGACGUAAUGAAGUCCAUCCCCUUCCAUUUUCCCAUGAGGAAACUGAGGGCUUAUUUUACUACAGUACAAGAAGUCCAACGGAAGGGUCAGUCCAGCGUGCAUUCAGAGUUUAAGAAAACCAGACAUCAGUGUAAGUUGGAGGAACAGCUGUGUUCAGAAAUGGGUCUUUGCCUUUUCAUCCACAAUGGAUUGUUGACCAGAAAAUCAGAGGCCGGCGUUCAACUAAUAUGUUAUAAAGAGUUGUUAUACA